UGGUGGAGUGAUUUGUCUGGUUAAUUCUGUUAACGAACGAGAUUUUAACUUCAUAUAUCCAAUAUGAUGAAAGAUAAAGCAAUAACA
rnacentral:rRNA from 1 species